CUUCGACAAUCUACAUCGUCCUUGAAGUCCCGGUGCUCUUACUUCUGAUCCAACAAAACCGAAGGAUCCCUGACCCGACAAAUCUGAAGGAUUAAAAUAAAAUAAAGAGUUCAGUUGUGAACAGCGGUAUGGGCUCCAUCGCACACAACGCUGGGCGUUACUGAUUUAGCAACCGAUGACGGAAGGAGAAUACUCUUCGGAGCUCUAUACCCUGUCCAUGACAUGUCAUUUCUGAAAUCUUAAGAGGAAGUGGUACGUUCUACUAUACUAAUGUGGUAUCAUUUGACCCCGGUGCUGUGAGACAUUAUGCUUGCACAAAACAUCAUUUUUUCCCGUUUCAACGCACGGGCAUAUGUGCUAGUCAUAAUCAAACCAGCAACAUAGGGUCACCAAAUUUGAGAUUCUUUUUUCAACCGCAUAAAGCAAACAUCAAUAACUGAAUUCCAUUUAAGUAUUGCACAUUGCAGGAUAAAAAGAAAAAGUAAACGGGUAUUACACAUUAUAAACUCACCUUCUUUGUAUCUGUUGGCGGGUUGCUUGACCAAAUUUAGUAAUAUGCAUGCCAACAUGUUAAAAACGUUGAGCACCAAUAAAGCACAGCAAACCAUAGGUAGAAGAUAAAUCAAUAUACUUCAUUCAUAUGCACUAAACGCAUUGUAAAAAGGUACAAGUACUGAAAUGGAAUCAAAAAACCAGAAAUAAGAUUUGCAUAAUGGAGUGAGAUAUGAUUACGUUAGUGAUUUUUAAGAGAGUGACCAGAGCUUGUAGAUUUAGUCGUUGAGUUUUGCUUCUCUACCACCACAGCUCCGUCACGCGCGAGGUUCUUGCUCUAGUACUGCUGCCCAUGCACUCUGCAACUUAGCCUUCGACAAUCUACAUCGUCCUUGAAGUCCCGGUGCUCUUACUUCUGAUCCAACAAAACCGAAGGAUCCCUGACCCGACAAAUCUGAAGGAUUAAAAUAAAAUAAAGAGUUCAGUUGUGAACAGCGGUAUGGGCUCCAUCGCACACAACGCUGGGCGUUACUGAUUUAGCAACCGAUGACGGAAGGAGAAUACUCUUCGGAGCUCUAUACCCUGUCCAUGACAUGUCAUUUCUGAAAUCUUAAGAGGAAGUGGUACGUUCUACUAUACUAAUGUGGUAUCAUUUGACCCCGGUGCUGUGAGACAUUAUGCUUGCACAAAACAUCAUUUUUUUCCCGUUUCAACGCACGGGCAUAUGUGCUAGUCAUAAUCAAACCAGCAACAUAGGGUCACCAAAUUUGAGAUUCUUUUUUCAACCGCAUAAAGCAAACAUCAAUAACUGAAUUCCAUUUAAGUAUUGCACAUUGCAGGAUAAAAAGAAAAAGUAAACGGGUAUUACACAUUAUAAACUCACCUUCUUUGUAUCUGUUGGCGGGUUGCUUGACCAAAUUUAGUAAUAUGCAUGCCAACAUGUUAAAAACGUUGAGCACCAAUAAAGCACAGCAAACCAUAGGUAGAAGAUAAAUCAAUAUACUUCAUUCAUAUGCACUAAACGCAUUGUAAAAAGGUACAAGUACUGAAAUGGAAUCAAAAAACCAGAAAUAAGAUUUGCAUAAUGGAGUGAGAUAUGAUUACGUUAGUGAUUUUUAAGAGAGUGACCAGAGCUUGUAGAGUUAGUCGUUGAGUUUUGCUUCUCUACCACCACAGCUCCGUCACGCGCGAGGUUCUUGCUCUAGUACUGCUGCCCAUGCACUCUGCAACUUAGCCUUCGACAAUCUACAUCGUCCUUGAAGUCCCGGUGCUCUUACUUCUGAUCCAACAAAACCGAAGGAUCCCUGACCUGACAAAUCUGAAGGAUUAAAAUAAAAUAAAGAGUUCAGUUGUGAACAGCGGUAAGGGCUCCAUCGCACACAACGCUGGGCGUUACUGAUUUAGCAACCGAUGACGGAAGGAGAAUACUCUUCGGAGCUCUAUACCCUGUCCAUGACAUGUCAUUUCAGAAAUCUUAAGAGGAAGUGGUACGUUCUACUAUACUAAUGUGGUAUCAUUNNNNNNNNNNNNNNNNNNNNNNNNNNNNNNNNNNNNNNNNNNNNNNNNNNNNNNNNNNNNNNNNNNNNNNNNNNNNNNNNNNNNNNNNNNNNNNNNNNNNNNNNNNNNNNNNNNNNNNNNNNNNNNNNNNNNNNNNNNNNNNNNNNNNNNNNNNNNNNNNACAAAAGUACAUGAAAAAUGAGAGGUUCGGUUCAUCUCUGAAUAAGGAAGGACGGAAUGGAACUACAGUAUGCAACUGUAGAUGCAAACUCCCAUAUACUAACCAUUCCACUAUGUAGAACUCUGAACUCAGAAUGCAGAAACCAAGACAUGUUGAACUGAAAUUGCUGGAGGUGACAGUUGGCAAACCACAAGAUUACGCACCAUGUUCGAAAGCAAACACAUGCAUCUAUGAUCUAUCUUCUGGUGGCAGCGUCAGUGCACGAUCUAAGUAGCAGUAAAUUUCAUCAGAUAAGCCCACAAAGAAUAAAAAUCACCAGAUCAUUCAGCAACAGAGUGAGAAACACAGACAGAAGAAAUACAUAAGCAGAGAAGCAUGAGCCAAUCUCUACAAAAAUCAAAAAAAAAAUGUGCACACACACGCACAUAUCAGCCAGUUCUAGCAUACAUCGAUCUAUCAAAGCAUCAGGCCAUCAGCCACCCAUUAGAGAAGUGAAAAAUGAAAGGAUUCAAACUUACGCAUCAAUCCAUCUAAGCAUCAGGCCAAAGGCAGCAGGAGCGAAGUGCUCUGAUGAAUCUGCUUGGCGCAGCUCCGAUCCCCUCGCGCAUCUUGGCGGCGACGCAACCCCGGCCCCCUCGCUCACCUCUAAUGCGGCGCCAACCUGACCCCCUUUCUCUACCUUUUCCCUCCUCACGUCGCCCACGAUCGACAUCCAUAUGGGGCGCCAUCCGAGCUAGCGGCAUUGUCCAAUCCACUUUCCUGCCCAUAGCAAAAUCUCAGUGUGGCCAUAUCUCUUAACAGUUAAGGAAUAUUACAAAACAACACAAUUGUACAAGCAGUAGCAGUAGCAAGCAACAUGCAACCUUGACAAAAAUAUUGUACUGUACACUACAAAAAAUCUAUUCAUAAGGAGGGUAACUAAAAAAAUCAUACUGUGCACUACAAAAAUAUCUAUUCUCAUGAAGAAUUACGCCAGUUGCGUUAAUUAGCAAAUGAGGAAAAUAAUCCAUUCAUACAUCAUAAGCAAUUAAAUAGAAAUUGGAGCAGCACCACCAAACAUUCUUAGGAGGUGAUUACCUUGUGAAGAACUGCUAGUGCUCCCAGUUUUUCAGUUAAAAGAGCAGGGUCCUAAUAAAAAAAGAAUUGGUUUAGAAGUUCAUAGGCGGUUUGUUGUUCGGGCUACAUAAAACAACUCCACAGUUGAAGAAACAACAUUGCUUAAUAUUCAGUGAACUACUAAAUGGAACAAUUAAGAUAAUUUUGUAGCCUCAGCAAGUACCAACUAUUUGGCUUAUCUAAUCUCACAGAUUCCUUAUUAUUUUGAUAUACCAAGACAAAGUAGGUACUCUGCUCUCAGCUUUAUGUUGGACUCAACAAAAUACAGUGCAACUAUCAUGAUUUUUGAAGUUGAGAUUCAUAAAAUGAAGAUUGGGGUAAAGCAUGGCUCUACUUAUCUGAUGAAGAACAAAAUUAAAAUUAAUUCCAUGCUGGUUACUGAAUCUGAUGAGAUAUAAUCCCGCACCCAACCUGAAAGUCUGAUCUCUCGCCCAUAAAUUGUAUUCCAGAGUAGCCACAUCAGAAACAAAUAAUAUGACACAUAAAUUAUUGUGUUCCCUCGUCUUCUCCUUCUUCAUCCAUAGAAUGGAUCACAGAAACAGCUAUUGACCAUCUUAUUUGAUCAGGUAGCUAAAUCUAUUGAAUAUAAGCAUGGAAAAACUAGAUAAAAAAAAUAAAGCACAAAAGAAAUUAAGAGAAAAGGGAAGGAUGAGAGAGAGAGAGAGAGGAAUACGUACCCCCGAAUGG
rnacentral:lncRNA from 1 species